GGCUCGUUGGUCUAGGGGUAUGAUUCUCACUUUGGGAGUGAGAGGUCCUAGGUUCGAAUCCUGGACGGUUA
rnacentral:tRNA from 1 species